rnacentral:misc_RNA from 1 species
CGUGCUGCCAACUAGUUUGCUUUCCUUGCACUCAAACCAUCACCCAUCUUAUCACUACGGCCGAUAUAUAUAUAUAUAUAUAUUUAAGUUAAGGUUACACACUCACAUUUCUCCGCUUGUUUUAACUUCGUCUCAAUUUAGAUUUUUUUUAGGGCGUCAAUCUAGUUCUUGUGAUUCGCAUAUGUUACCUAGUACCAUUCCUGGCUAAUACCCAUUAAAAUACUAUUCCUAUGGUGCCUGUGUGGUUUAUAUCCAUGUGACACCUACAAAUUACAAUGAAGGCCAACUAUGCCUUGCAUUAAUGCAAAUUAACACUUAUUUUUUCUUCUCAAAUAAAAUUUUAUGAUAAAAGAAUAUAUAUAAAUGUUUUUCUCCUAGGCAUAUAAAAAUACUAUUAAUGAACAUUUAUUGUCAUAUAAUAAAAUUGUUUUUCACCAUAUGAAUUCUAUGCAAACAUAAUUUUGGUGAUAUUAGUUAAAAUUGUAACUAAGUGAUGACAAAUAAAAACCACAAUGAAAAGAAAAGGAAAAAAAAGAAAAAAGUCCCCCAAAGUCAACAAUGUCUAAACCACAUUGUAUGUUUUUGAACUAUUACCCUUAUUUAAUUAUCACAAUAAUGCCCAUUCAUUUUUGCACUCCCCUAGCAACACUAUCAUACUUGAAUUCUCAAUGCCACAGAGGAGAUAUUUGUGUGUGUGUGUGUG